rnacentral:rRNA from 1 species
UACGUACCGUCCAAACGUUAUUCGGAAUUACUGGGCUUAAAGGGUUUGUAGGCGGCCUUGUAAGUCAGGUGUGAAAUCCCUCGGCUCAACCGAGGAAUAGCGCUUGAUACUGCAAGGCUUGAGGGAGACAGGGGUAAGCGGAACUGAUGGUGGAGCGGUGAAAUGCGUUGAUAUCAUCAGGAACACCGGUGGCGAAAGCGGCUUACUGGGUCUCUUCUGACGCUGAGGAACGAAAGCUAGGGGAGCGAACGGG